rnacentral:tRNA from 1 species
AGGUAGGGUGGCCGAYAGUUAGGUGGCAGGCUGUAGUCCUGUUAAUAUAGGUUUAAAUCCUGUUUCUACC